rnacentral:rRNA from 1 species
GACGAACCGUGCGAACGUUGUUCGGAAUCACGUGGCUUAAAGGGCGCGUAGGCGGUUCGUUAAGUCCUGUGUGAAUCCCCCGGCUCAACUGGGGAACUGCACAGGAAACUAGCGGGCUUGAGUUCGGGAGAGGGAAGCGGAAUUCCGGGUGUAGCGGUGAAAUGCGUAGAUAUCCGGAGGAACACCGGUGGCGAAGGCGGCUUGCCUGGACCGACACUGACGCUGAGGCGCGAAAGCUAGGGGAGCAAACGGGG